UACGUUCGGAUUGUAGGCUGAAACUCGCCUACAUGAAGCUGGAAUUGCUAGUAAUCACAGGUCAGCAUACUGUGGUGAAUACGUUCCCGGGCCUUGUACACACCGCCCGUCACACCAUGAGAGUUGAGAAUACCCGAAGCCCAUGUCAAAGUGGUCGAAGGUAGGCUUGAUGAUUGGGGUGAAGUCGUAACAAGGUAAC
rnacentral:rRNA from 1 species